UGCCAAGUUAGGGUACGGCACCUGAUUUGUAAUCAGGGGGUCACGAGUUCGAACCUUGUCGGGGGCACCA
rnacentral:tRNA from 1 species